AAACCAACAGGGAUUGCCUUAGUAGCGGCGAGUGAAGCGGCAAAAGCUCAAAUUUGAAAUCUGGUACUUUCAGUAUCCGAGUUGUAAUUUGUAGAAGCAACUUUGGUGAUGGUCUUUGCAUAAGUUCCUUGGAAUAGGACGUCAUAGAGGGUGAGAAUCCCGUUUAUGGUGAAGAACCCACACUAUGUAAAGUGCUUUCGAAGAGUCGAGUUGUUUGGGAAUGCAGCUCAAAGUGGGUGGUAAAUUCCAUCUAAAGCUAAAUAUUGGCGAGAGACCGAUAGCGAACAAGUACUGUGAAGGAAAGAUGAAAAGAACUUUGAAAAGAGAGUGAAAAAGUACGUGAAAUUGUUGAAAGGGAAGGGAUCUAAAUCAGACAUGGUAUUUUGUGAUCAACAGUCUUUCGGGACUGUGCACUCGCAUUUUACUAGGCCAGCAUCGGUUAGAAGGGGGUAAAAAAGAUUUUGGAAUGUGGCUCCUCGGAGUGUUAUAGCCAAGGUUAAUUGCCCCAUUUCUGACCGAGGACCGCGUCUUUUGACUAGGAUGCUGGCGUAAUGGUUUUGAUCCACC
rnacentral:rRNA from 1 species